CCAGUAUUCCCAGUAUCCCUCUCCCAGUACCCCCAGUAUCCCCAGUGCCCCCAUCCCAGUAUUCCCAGUACCCCCCCCCCGCUGCCAUCACCGUGACGAGGCCACCAGCAGAUCCAAGACUUUUAUUUGGGAUCCUCCGGAAUCUUCUGGAACCCCCCGGAACCCUCCAGGAUCCUCUGGAAUCCUCUGGAACCCUUCCGGAUCCUCUGGAAUCCUCCGGGAUCUUCCAAAAUCCUCUGGAAUCCCCCGGGAUCUUCCAGGAUCCUUUGGAACCCUCCGGAACCUUCCGUGAUCCUCCAGAAGCCUCAAGAACCUUCCAGGACCCUCCAGGAUCUUCCGGGAUCCUCUGGAACCCUCCAGGACCCUUUGGGAUCCUCCAGGAUCCUCCAGAACCCUCUGAGACCUUCUGGGAUCCUCCAGGAUCUUCCGGGAUCCUCCGGAACCUUCUGGGACCCCUCCCCUAUUUCCGGCACCCCCCGCAGCCGUUCCCGUCCCUGGAGCCGGAUCCCGGAUCGGUUCCGGCCCCGGAUCCCUGGGAGGAUCCCUGGGAAGAUCCAGAGCCGGAUCCCGAACCGGAUCCCACUCCAGGUCCCAGUCCGGAUCCGGAGCCAGAUCCCGAACCGGAUCCCACUCCGGGUCCCAAUCCGGAUCCCGAGCCGGAUCCCAGUCUGGAUCCCAGACCGGAUCCCUGUGAUGAUCCCAGUCUGGAUCCCAGACCGGAUCCCAUUCCGGAUCCCGUUCCGGAUCCCGGUCCCCGGCGGAUCGGGAAGCUCCCCCCGAUCCGGGCCGGGUGCUGCAGCCCCGGCACAAAGGGGAUCCCGGGGUUUUUGUAGCCGGGGCGCUGCCGGGAUCCCCCGGAGGAUCCCAAAUCCCCCCCGGAGAAUCCCGACCCCCCGUAGGAUCCCGAUCCCCCAUAGGAUCCCGAUCCCCCUCCGUAGGAUCCCGAUCCCCCAUAGGAUCCCGAUCCACCCCCAUAGGAUCCAGGUUUUCCAUAGGAUCCCAAUCCCCCAUAGGAUCCAGGUUUUCCAUAGGAUCCUGAUCCUCCUCCGUAGGAUCCCGAAUUUCCUCCGUAGGAUCCCGAGUUCCCGGCGGAUCCCGAGUUUCCAUAGGAUCCCGAAUUUCCAUAAGAUCCCGAAUUCCCGGCGGAUCCCGAUCCCCCGUAGGAUCCCGAAUUCCCGGCGGAUCCCGAUCCCCCGGCGGAUCCCGAGUUCCCGCAGGCUCCGGAUCCCAGCUGGGGGCUGAGGAAUCCCAGGGGAUCCUUGCAGGGAUCG
ensembl:lncRNA